UCACUAAGAGGACGUACCGUUUUAGUCAUUAAAUUAACGUUUUACUGACGUCUAUUUGGGGUCACUAUCAGUACCUCUAGUGUAAAUUUAAUCGACAUCAUAACUUGACGAACGCGUUUGCGUUAAGUCUCAUUUUGUAUAGGAUUUUGAGUUUCCACAAACGUGCCCGGAACUUUUAUCACUUCUGAUCACAUGUGCGAUAAAAUUAGCCCAUAUUAUAUUUACAAAUCUGUACGUCCGCCCAUUCAAAUUUCUGUUAUGCCAAACCACGUGCGUAAAACUCAUUAGCACCGUUGUAAUACUUAUCAAGAUGUUUACUAAUGAGCGAAGUUCCGCUAAUUAGUUGUAAAAACACCGCCAAAGUUGUAAAAACUGACCUACCCGACGAGUACUGAAUAAACAAUUGACUAUUGAAUUUCAAUUGUCUGUUUGACGACAACUUUAUCGAUUUCUACGGGCGUAUUGGAGGUGAAUACACUUUGGUAUUCAAAUAAUCGGAAGUUCAAGGUUGGAAUUUAUUAGUAUAACUUGUGACUAAUCCGUUACAUGGAUUAGAUAACAGCUGUACACAUAUUAGUUUGAACGUAACACUUUCCCCAAUCUUAGGUUAAGAAUUUUUGGCUUCUAUAGCGCUUCUGAUUAUUUUUUAGGUUAUUAUGGAAGUAGCUAACCUAAGGACCAAUCAAAGCUAACAGUAAUUACUGGUCUCAGCACUUGAUAUGAAAAAUAAGUGAAGAUUUCUUAUCUUCAGUCGGUAAGAUACAGACCGAUGUUAACUGUUUCCACAGAUUGCAUAAAUAGCAAUUAACGUUGCCCAUAAAAUUUCUCGAUACUCACAAAAGCGUGAAGCUAGCACAAAAUUACUAUUUGCACUUUAAGGUAUGUCGUUUCAAGAAUUUCCCUUGAAAAAAACGGGAUAGUUUUUGGUGCGCAUGCAGGUAAAAAAUUGUAUCAUAACUUGUCUUAAAAUUGCAGUUUUAAUUGAUAGUACAAUUCAAAAUUACCAAUAUAGUGUCAUUAUUUUUGCAAAUGCCUGUUCCAAAUUAAAAAGCAUUAGUAACAACAAAAUUUGUUACGUUGCUUUUGAGCAGGCACUAAACAAUACCAAAUGUUUAGUCAUUAUAAUCCAUUUUGACCUUGCUAAGAAUCGAGUUACGCUUCUAGAAACUUGCGGGCUCUGAUAUCAGCAAACAUUCUGGGUUUCGAAUUUUGGUUUCUAUAUUAAUGUCGACUUUGAUUGAUAGCAUCUUUGAAUGUUUGAACCAUAUUUGUACCUGUUUUCUGAAAGAAACUGCGCAGUUUUCAAAUUUAGGGAACUUAUACUUCUUCUGAUUCUUUGAUUACAAAUUUCUGGUAUUUUCAAGGCUCUGAUCUCAAUUAUUGAGAGAAUAAGAAAAUUUUUCUGGCUCUUGUAUUGCAUUAUUAGGCAUGCUAUGAAAUAAUUAGUGAUGAAUAUCACAAGCCUGUUAAAUUCCGCUUAUUGAGAAAAUGAUGCAACUUUUCAAUUAGUCUAAUAAUAUGUUUAAAAAAAAAUUCUGUGGAACUGAACGUUUGGGUUCAGUACCGCGGCUGAACAUUGCGUCAUCAUUAUUGUUAUACGACGUGUGUACGUGAUGUUUUCGCUCACCUGCGAUCUGCCGGCGGCUUGAGGAGGUUGCGGGGGGCGGGAGGGAGAUCGCGUCGAGAGCGCGCUCUGCCCAGAGGCUUCGCCUUUUUGAACGCAACCGACAGACGAUAAACACGUUGCUUUAGCUGUUAACCAGUUGAACGCUCGUUCACAUUCAAAAAUGGCGAAUUAGGGAGAUUUCGUGUUCCUGCUGUCAGCGUGUACGAGAUUGCUACCGUGUGUCCUAGUCCCCUGGGUCGGAGCUCGUUUAUCCAUCGACUGGAGCCCCUUCCCUUUGUAAGUAUUUUUUUUAUUAUCGUUAAUAUUUGAAUAGCUAUUUAAAAUCGUAGAAAUGUGUCAAACGAUCGCUCAAGUUUAACUUUGUUCUAUAAAUCAGUAACCGGAUUACGGAGUAUUAACUUUGCCAGUUGUAAAUCGAGAUUUUCCCGCCAAUUUGGUGAUAAUGACACGUGGUGAGAAGAUCUAAAAAAUAGCGCAGAUUCUUUCUAGGUCAGGGUCGAACGUUGAACGACCGAUAGUAAUAUUUAGGAAUCUCAGCUUUAAAGCUUUUGUUUUAAUGAAUUAUAGUAAAAAUUUAAACAUACACUUAAACGUGUUGUGCAGUUGAAAUUAAACGUUUUUUUUUAGAUUAUCCUCUUAAGGCCCAAGGUCCUACCUAUAGGACUUAUUCAGUUCGAUGAAAUUUAAAUCAUAUUCAAUUAGGACAGAGUUGCAUUUGUUUUGUUUCGUGCAAUUUUCAAACAAAAUAAAAUCUACUGUAUUCCGUGCACUAUAGGUUCAAAUUCCAGUGGCAAAUUGUGGAUUUUUCAUUUCUAUGGCUGGGCCUUAAGAGGUUAAAACCACUAGGUAUUUUUCCAGUCUAUAGGCUCUAUAGAAAUUGGGUCGAUGAAGUUUAAUCAAAAAAAAUUAUUACGUAAGAUUACAUCUAUUUGUUUUUAAGUGUACCUACAGUGACAUAAAUUUUCCACUUUUGUUUUUCCGUGUUACUUCCGAUUUCAUUUGGUCCUUUCUCUGCGCGCGGGAAGUAGUUCACCCAACAUUCUUAGACAAUGAGUCACACCUGACCUUGGGAGUUUUUACACGUGUCGAACUUUGAACUUGCGCAAUUGUUACCAGAUAAGUUAUCAGAUAGUUAAAGAUUUUCGUAACUAUAAUAGAUUAUAGAGUUAAGAUGGUUUUGAUUAAGAGAUAAUAAAGUUUGUUUUUGACUGUUCCAAGAUCAAGAAGUCAUCCUGAGGAUCUAUUCGAAGGAGAAAAUGGAGGACCAGGAGAGCCAAGCCCUUCAGUCAGAAUUUACAGAGCACCAACUAAUGGGUUUAAAAAUGAGCCUUCGAGGUCUGGAAGGAAGACAUCAACGAUUGAACCAUCACAUAUCAGGGAACCUUCGACUUCCACCGAAGCUGAUCAGCAGAGAAGAGGUCAUGGCUGCCACCACAAUCAUGAAAUGGAACAAGAGACUCACCGCCAAGAAACUUCCAUUCCCCAAAACCAACUACCCAACAUCGAAUUCCAUUUCAAGAUAAAUUUCGGCGCACAUUGGGGCCAAAGAGUGGAAUCUGGGACUUCUUCGGACCAAAGGAAUUCCGAAUCAGCCCGGAGCCAACCGCUGAUCCGCCAGGAAUUUAACUUUGGCUCGAUGCCUUAUCCUCUGAGGGCAAGGCAGGCAGAGCCUCAUCCUGAAGGACAUCCCCACCGUCAUCAGGCCCACCACGACGAAAGCAAGACUGGGCAGCAGGGAGCUAGACCCCGUGAGACUAAUCCUAAGGCUGAUCUAUUAGUAGAUAUUUUAGGAAAUAAGGAUUUGUAAUCUCGACUGAUUGUUAAGGAAUGUUUUUUAUUUAUUUAUCGGUUGAACAUUCCAUAUAGUUCCUAAGAUAUAAACUUACGUAUAGAGAUCUGAUUUUCGAGUCACAAAAUUGGUUGUGUUAUUCGGUUCGAGUACUUAUUAUAAAAGACAUGAAAGACCAAAUUAACUUUUAACCGUCCGAGGCUUGUAUUAGUAAUUCUGCAGAGUAUUUAAUAUUUAUGAAUUAUAGUAUUAUAUUCACAGUAUUUUAGAAUCUCGUAAUUUCACA